AGUGAACGCUGGCGGUAGGCCUAACACAUGCAAGUCGAACGGCAGCACAGUAAGAGCUUGCUCUUACGGGUGGCGAGUGGCGGACGGGUGAGGAAUACAUCGGAAUCUACUUUUUCGUGGGGGAUAACGUAGGGAAACUUACGCUAAUACCGCAUACGCCCUACGGGUGAAAGCAGGGGAUCUUCGGACCUUGCGCGAUUGAAUGAGCCGAUGUCGGAUUAGCUAGUUGGCGGGGUAAAGGCCCACCAAGGCGACGAUCCGUAGCUGGUCUGAGAGGAGGAUCAGCCACACUGGAACUGAGACACGGUCCAGACCCCUACGGGAGGCAGCAGUGGGGAAGAUUGGAAAAUGGGCGCAAGCCUGAUCCAGCCAUACCGCGUGGGUGAAGAAGGCCUUCGGGUUGUAAAGCCCUUUUGUUGGGAAAGAAAAGCAGCAGGUUAAUACCCCGCUGUUCUGACGGUACCCAUAGAAUAAGCACCGGCUAACUUCGU
rnacentral:rRNA from 1 species